CCAGCACGUGAUGUGGGGACGUCAUGAGAGACUGCCGGGGUUAACUCGGAGGAAGGUGGGGAGUGACGUCAAAUCAUCAUGCCCCUUAUGUCCAGGGCUUCACACAUGCUACAAUGGUCGGUACAACGCGUGUGCGACACUGUGAGGUGAAGCUAAUCGCUCUAAAGCCGGUCGUAGUUCGGAUUGGGGUCUGCAACUCGACCCCAUGAAGUCGGAGUCGCUAGUAAUCGCAGAUCAGCAACGCUGCGGUGAAUACGUUCCCGGGCCUU
rnacentral:rRNA from 1 species